AUGGUAAAUUGGUAACUAUGGUCAAUGACUAUUUAUAUCUAUAUACGAAGUAUACUAUUCUGGCCUCCUAACGACCGGAAAGUUGAGACGGCCAUUGUUUACAACACCAGGUUAUGGCAUGCCAUCAUGGUACACGGGUCAGCCCAACCCAGCCCCGUCAGCCACACCUGACUUCAAUUCGUAAAUUUGGCUUGUGAUGUUUCCUGUGGAGGUGUGGUGGAGCAACCAUUAUUAGGGCAAUACAACUGAUGACUCAGUAAAAUGCUUAAAAGUAUAAAAGUUAUAUUCUUAUAGGUAGAACUCCUUGAUAUUAUCCUAACACUGCUAAAGUCUCAUACGUUACUUAUUAUUCACACAAUAGUUAAAUGUCUGUUAUAACCUCAAAAUCCUUCAUGUUUUUAUUUUGUCAUUUUCCUUAAAAAUAGAGUGAUUACGUUUUUAGCCCCGACUUCCUACACUGCUGCAUGUUCCUCGCACCUGUUAUUUGCCUCUCUGGACCCGGGUUACGUUUCACUUUCUUGCUACCUCUCUCUACUCUCCUCUCCUCUCGAAUGGCGCUGGUACUUCUCCUCCCCUCUCCUACUUCUCUUCUUCAAUUUGUCCUCCUAAUUUUUCCUACUAAUUUCUCUUCUUUGAUGACCUGUUUUAUAGGACAUCUCCCAGGGCGUUCGUUUUGAAGGGCUCCAUUUGCCACCGAACUAUCGGCUCUCCAUCAUCGGUUUUAGCAAUUCUCUCUCUCCUCUUUUUCCAAAGUUUCAAUAUUUUCAGUUUCUAUUUGAUUAAUGCCAUUUCUAAUUCCGGGUUUAUCAAAAAAUGGAAAACAUUAAAAAUAACCCAGUUGAAGGUUCAUCUGCUAUUUCUACAUAUGGUCGCUGCAACUCUUGCAAGGUUCCUUCCAAAGUGGACAUACAGCUGGUAAUUCAGGAUUGGUGCAGGUGGAUUUGGAGAAGUCUUCUUCGCAUAGCACAGAGGCGAGCAACAAUCAAGAAGAUGGAUAUGCAAGCCUCAAGGGAGCUGCAGGUCUUAACUCGUGUUCAUCAUUUGCAUCUGGCAAAGCUAGCCAGAAAGGAGAUGCGGGAUCACGAGGCUUUUUUGAAAAGCUUUGAAGUCUCCUAACCUGCGCGUUUGGAGGAAGUUAUUCGGUCGAUUGAUCGAGCUCUUGGUCUUGAGAGAUGUUCUGGGAUUCAUGGUAGUUUUGUUCAUCUUAAAGGUACAGGAUGGCACUCCCCUUGGCACGCUUCAUACUUUCUAACAUUGUUGGAGUACACUACUAAAUAUGUACUAGAAUUGUUAGUUUGAUGGCCUGCUAUGUCAUGGAAUAUGGAGUUUCGUACCCGGGAAGUGAGAGUUACGCUACGUUUUGUUCCUGACAGGUAUCGCCUAUCAAGUCAUCAUCCAAAACAUGUUAUUUACCUUUGAACAGAGUUCUUACUUUGCGGCUAUGUGCACACAUGAUGAGUAAUGUUGCUUUCAUAUGUUAUUAUGCCACCCAUUUUAAUAAAGAAGAAAAUUCAGCUGAUCAAUUUCAGCUUUAGAUUAUUAUACACUGGAUCUAAUUAGUCAAUAGUUGUGCUUUGCUCUUCAUGUUUUGUGAUAGUCUUUCUUCCUCUUUGUUUUCUACUCAAAAACCUUUUGCAACCAUAGGUUUAAGAUUGUGUAUAUUUGAACCUGUAGAUGCCAAUUAUCAUAUACCUUGAUGGUAAAGUA